CUGUUUUCCAUCCUGUGCAAAUGCUUCUCCCACUCGGCGUUCACCUUCGGUAUCGAGAGCCACAUCAGCCAGUCGAACAUCAACGGGACGCUGGUGCCGCCCGCCGCCCUCAUCUCCAUCCUGCAGAAGGGGCUGCAGUACGUGGAGGCCGAGAUCAGCAUCAACGAGGAUGGCACGGUAUUCG